UGGAGAGUUUGAUCCUGGCUCAGGAUCAACGCUGGCGGCGUGCCUAAUGCAUGCAAGUCGAACGGAGCCACCUUCGGGUGGUCACGUGGCGGACGGGUGAGGAACACGUGGGUGAUCUGCCCCGAGGUGGGGGAUAGCCACCAGAAAUGGUGGGUAAGACCGCAUGAGGUCGCAGCGAUGAACCGCUGCGAGCAAAGUCGCAAGACGCCUUGGGAGGAGCCUGCGGCGGAUUAGCUAGUUGGUGGGGUAACGGCUUACCAAGGCGAUGAUCCGUA
rnacentral:rRNA from 1 species